CAAGAAGCGCAGCGAAAAUGGACGAGAAGAAGAAAACAGCGGAGGCUGCAACAGAGACAUGUAUAUGAAAAUUCUGGUUACCCAUGCCUGCGUUGCAGCCUCCACUGAUUUCUUCUUCUUUUCCAGGUUGGCUGCGUUUUUUU
rnacentral:pre_miRNA from 1 species